rnacentral:rRNA from 1 species
GACGAACGCUGGCGGCGUGCUUAACACAUGCAAGUCGAACGGAAAGGCCCUGCUUUUGUGGGGUGCUCGAGUGGCGAACGGGUGAGUAACACGUGAGUAACCUGCCCUUGACUUUGGGAUAACUUCAGGAAACUGGGGCUAAUACCGGAUAGGAUCUCCUGCUGCAUGGUGGGGGUUGGAAAGUUUCGGCGGUUGGGGCUGGACUCGCGGCUUAUCAGCUUGUUGGUGGGGUAGUGGCUUACCAAGGCUUUGACGGGUAGCCGGCCUGAGCGGGUGACCGGCCACAUUGGGACUGAGAUACGGCCCAGACUCCUACGGGAGGCAGCAGUGGGGAAUAUUGCACAAUGGGCGGAAGCCUGAUGCAGAAACGCCGCGUGCGGGAUGACGGCCUUCGGGUUGUAAACCGCUUUCGCCUGUGACGAAGCGUGAGUGACGGUAAUGGGUAAAGAAGCACCGGCUAACUACGUG